rnacentral:rRNA from 1 species
UACGGAGGGGGCUAGCGUUGUUCGGAAUUACUGGGCGUAAAGGGCGCGUAGGCGGCCAUUCAAGUCGGGGGUGAAAGCCUGUGGCUCAACCACAGAAUUGCCUUCGAUACUGUUUGGCUUGAGUCUGGUAGAGGUUGGUGGAACUGCGAGUGUAGAGGUGAAAUUCGUAGAUAUUCGCAAGAACACCGGUGGCGAAGGCGGCCAACUGGACCAGUACUGACGCUGAGGCACGAAAGCGUGGGGAGCAAACAGG